AUCUCACACCCUCUCUAUCUCUUCUCUAUAUUUUUGGUGCAAUUAUGUACUUAGAUUUCAUGUAUAAAAGAAUAAAACACUUAGAGAGAGUUGGCAUGCUCUAACAACGAUUUGUUUAUCUGCUGCAGCUGAGAGGAGCAAAAAUUCUGAAAAUGAAUUCAAAACCCUCCCAAAUGGUCUCAAGUACUAUGAUUUGAAGACUAGAGACGGACUUGAAGCUGUAAAGGGAUCUCGGGUUAUAGUAUGAUUGUGGCACAGGUCUCUCUUUAUGUUUAUGCAGUUAACACUUGGCUAUGCUCCUAAUUGGAAUUGCCAAAAGAGAUACAACAACCCUAGAGGAAGAGAGCUGGCAGUGCUAGCACUGUGUCAAAAUGCAAUCACCCAUGCCAAGUCUGCAAUUCAUUUCUUGUUUUUUAUGUUGAUUCCAAUUCAAUCUUAUUAAUCUGUUAUGUGCCAUUGUGAAUGUGAUUGAUGGUAAUACUACGGUGGCAGUAAGACUUUAAGAGCAGUCGAUGUGAGCUUCCGCUAUCGGACACUCACAAAGGUGAUACCCUGAGGCUGCUCUACAUUUACAAAAGAUGGGGCAUCUUGCAUUUACACUAUCAAAGCGGUUGCUGAGAAAUCUGCAUGGCAAUUUGCGGAGGAAAAUAGCGUGGACAUAGUCGUGCUGAAUCCAGGAGUGGUGGCUGGUCCUAUUAUGGUGCAGCUUUUUAGAUGUUGUAGGAUUGUCAUAUGAAAAAUACUAUUAUGGUGUAGCUUUUUAGAUAUUCAUUAUGGUGUUGGGACAUGUUGUAAAACAAUGGAUCUUGUUUUGUGGAUGUUGGAUUAUUAGUUGUUAUCAAUGUUUAAAUGAGCAUUUUCAGUA